UAUCUCUGUAGAGUCUGCAUAUCAAUAAGCGGAGGAAAAGAAACUAACAAGGAUUCCCUCAGUAACGGCGAGUGAAGCGGGAAGAGCUCAAAUUUGAAAUCUUCAAGGUUCUACCUUGACGAAUUGUAGUUUAAAGAAGUGUUUUCUGUUGAAGUUUCGGUAAAAGCUCUUUGGAAUAGGACAUCAUAGAGGGUGAGAAUCCCGUAUUUGACCAGUUCUUUUCAGCUGUGUGAUACACUUUCAAAGAGUCGGAUUGUUUGGGAAUGCAGUCCAAAAUGGGUGGUAAAUUUCAUCUAAAGCUAAAUACUGGCGAGAGGCCGAUAGCGAACAAGUACCGUGAGGGAAAGAUGAAAAGAACUUUGAAAAGAGAGUUAAACAGUACGUGAAAUUGUUAAAAGGGAAGCGUUUGACACCAGUGUUGUUUUCUCGAAAAUCAAUUAAAAAUGGCGGGAUUUUGUGUUGUAUUGACUUUAUCAGCUUUCUGCACUUUUUUCCUGUCUUUUUUAAUGCACUUUUCGUUUAACAAGUCAACAUCAAUUUCUUUUGUUGUAAAAGGGUCAUUGGAAGGUGGCUUUCUUUUCGGAGAAAGUGUUUAUAGCCUUUGACUUCUGCAAUCGGAGAGAUUGAGGUCUGCAGCGUAGAUCCUUCGGGGUUAGAUGCAUUUGUGCUAAGUUAUAGCCUCUCAUAGACAACUUGUUGACUAUGAUCAGUCAUGUAGCUUACUCGCUUAUGUAUUUUACCUACGCUUAGGAUGUUGAUCUCUCACAGUCGAGC
rnacentral:rRNA from 1 species